rnacentral:lncRNA from 10 species
UAUAACCUCCGCCUCCCGGGUUCAAGCAAUUCUUCUGCUUCAGCGUCCCAAGUAGCUGGGAUUACAGGCCUUCAGUUGCAAAGUUCUCCAUUGUCAGAUUACGCUGCCUGAUGGGCAUGAAAAGUCCACAAAAGAGAAUUUUCUGAUGUGAGAAUGGAGGGUGUUGCCUGCAACUACCCCAGAUCCCUGCGGUGGCAGUUUAAGCCGCCUCCUGGAGCAGAUUGUUAAGCUGAUGCGAGUCUGGGCUCUGCCUCACCACUUGUCUCAGAGAAUGUCCAGUGCUAGGAGACUCAUAAGUUGGAGAGAAACGGCCUGAUUUAUAGAAACUGAGCGAGACUCCGGACCACCUGAUGCAGAGAAACCUGUGACCUGAAAAAGUCUAUUUGUGUUUCCUCUAGGAAUCUCGGCCAAGAAGACAGGGACAAGCUCCCAACUCUGACUACCCCUUUUACAGGGAAAAAAAAAAAAUCCCGUGCCUUCUUUGCAGCAAGUGACAAAUCCUUGUCAU